UGCUCUCGGAGGCUGAGUCUGUUGAGGUCUGGGGAGGCAAGCGUGACUUGGAUCUGGUCUACAGCAGCAUGGAGGUUCUUCACCUCUGCCUCCAAACGCAACAUGUCCUGAGGAAAGACACAGGCACAUCUAGUCGACACCCUUGUCUUCCAGUUUCAGAGCGAUGGUCUUGAGCUUCAUCUCGAUGUCCUGGAGUCUGGAGCCGAAGUCCUCUUUCACAUCUCUCGUCUGCUGCACUUCCCUUUCCCUGGCCUGGACCUAAAGCAGAGGGCGGAAAUACAAACAGUUCAUUGUACUGUCAAACACUAAGAGACUUUAAACAGUGCUAUUAUGGAUAUUUCAGCAUGAACUCUCUGGAUACUCUUAAAAGCCCUGCAGUAGGAAAGUCAUACACUAGGGUGCAUAGUGGAAAUCAUACAAGUGGAUUCAAGCUUAACUCUGACAUAAAAUACUUGAAAGUGU